CCUACGGGAGGCAGCAGUGAGGAAUAUUGGUCAAUGGGCGCGAGCCUGAACCAGCCAAGUAGCGUGAAGGAUGACUGCCCUACGGGUUGUAAACUUCUUUUAUAAAGGAAUAAAGUGAGUUACGUGUGCCCUUUUGUAUGUACUUUAUGAAUCAGGAUCGGCUAACUCCGUGCAAGGAGCCGCGGUAAUACGGAGGAUCCGAGCGUUAUCCGGAUUUAUUGGGUUUAAAGGGAGCGUAGGUGGGUUGUUAAGUCAGUUGGGAAAGAUUGCGGCACAACCGUAAAAUUGCAAAUGAUACUGGCAGUCUUGAGUACAGUAGAGGUAGGCGGAA
rnacentral:rRNA from 1 species